AGCCUUUUCUUGUUUUAGCAACUGAAAAUUGUACUUGGUCACUUUUGUGCUUGAGGAGGCCCAUUUUCUGCCUGGCAGGGGGCAGGUCUGUGCCCUCCCGCUGACUCCUGCUGUGUCCUGAGGUGCAUUUCCUGUUGUACACACAAGGGCCAGGCUCCAUUCUCCCUCCCUUUCCACCAGUGCCACAGCCUCGUCUGGAAAAAGGACCAGGGGUCCCGGAGGAACCCAUUUGUGCUCUGCUUGGACAGCAGGCCUGGCACUGGGAGGUGGGGGUGAGCCCCUCACAGCC
rnacentral:lncRNA from 1 species